GGAGAGGAGGAGAGCAGGAGCAGAGGACGGAGGACGGAGCAGAGACAUCAUCACAGAGAGACAUGUGAGCGGGACAUGCUGGAGGAGCAGGGCAAUAGAACACUACAGAAUCUUACCUGAUUUGACCUGAUUUGAAUGAAAGCUGGUGACUACAACAGAACCAGGAUCCCCACUGAAGUCUGGACUGAUGUGAAUCACAGGGUUGACCACAUGAUUUCCCCCUUUGGAUAACAUCACAGGAGGGCAUGGUGGGGGGGGGGUUUCCAGGUGCUUUUCUAGUCUUUCUAGUUUUUCCAAAACAAGAUAUGUGCCAUUAGAGAAACCAGCUGUUUCCAGACUGCUGCCUCUCUUGGUCUGGUCACUCCCAAUCCUUGUACCAGUGUCUGAUUUCUCACUGACGCUGGACAGGUUUGGGGGGGGCUGUGCUAAGGACUGCUGUACUCCAUUAUCUCCUGCUGACUUUUCCUUCUCCUCUCAUUGGUUUUUGGACUUUUGUGAUUACUUAUGUGCAUCUCAAUUAAAACGUAGAAACCUUUGAA